rnacentral:rRNA from 1 species
UACGAAGGGGGCUAGCGUUGCUCGGAAUCACUGGGCGUAAAGCGCACGUAGGCGGGCUCUUAAGUCGGUGGUGAAAUCCUGGAGCUCAACUCCAGAACUGCCUCCGAUACUGGGAGUCUUCGAGUCCGGGAGAGGUGAGUGGGACUGCGAGUGGAGAGGUGAAAGUCGUAGAUAUGCGCAAGAACACCAGUGGCGAAGGCGGCGCACGGGCCCGGUACUGACGCUGAGGUGCGAAAGCGUGGGGAGCAAACAGG